UUUUAGGGUUUUGGGAUUAUGGCUCAGGAUGAACGCUGGCGGCGUGCCUAAUACAUGCAAGUCGAACGCACAGCGAAAGGUGCUUGCACCUUUCAAGUGAGUGGCGAACGGGUGAGUAACACGUGGACAACCUGCCUCAAGGCUGGGGAUAACAUUUGGAAACAGAUGCUAAUACCGAAUAAAACUUAGUGUCGCAUGACACAAAGUUAAAAGGCGCUUCGGCGUCACCUAGAGAUGGAUCCGCGGUGCAUUAGUUAGUUGGUGGGGUAAAGGCCUACCAAGACAAUGAUGCAUAGCCGAGUUGAGAGACUGAUCGGCCACAUUGGGACUGAGACACGGCCCAAACUCCUACGGGAGGCUGCAGUAGGGAAUCUUCCACAAUGGGCGAAAGCCUGAUGGAGCAACGCCGCGUGUGUGAUGAAGGCUUUCGGGUCGUAAAGCACUGUUGUAUGGGAAGAACAGCUAGAAUAGGAAAUGAUUUUAGUUUGACGGUACCAUACCAGAAAGGGACGGCUAAAUACGUGCCAGCAGCCGCGGUAAUACGUAUGUCCCGAGCGUUAUCCGGGAUUUAUUGGGCGUAAAGCGAGCGCAGACGGUUUAUUAAGUCUGAUGUGAAAGCCCGGAGCUCAACUCCGGAAUGGCAUUGGAAACUGGUUAACUUGAGUGCAGUAGAGGUAAGUGGAACUCCAUGUGUAGCGGUGGAAUGCGUAGAUAUAUGGAAGAACACCAGUGGCGAAGGCGGCUUACUGGACUGCAACUGACGUUGAGGCUCGAAAGUGUGGGUAGCAAACAGGAUUAGAUACCCUGGUAGUCCACACCGUAAACGAUGAACACUAGGUGUUAGG
rnacentral:rRNA from 1 species